rnacentral:rRNA from 1 species
AUACGAAGGGGGCUAGCGUUGUUCGGAUUUACUGGGCGUAAAGCGCACGUAGGCGGAUUGAUCAGUUAGGGGUGAAAUCCCGAGGCUCAACCUCGGAACUGCCUUUAAUACUGUCAGUCUAGAGACCGGAAGAGGUGAGUGGAACUCCUAGUGUAGAGGUGGAAUUCGUAGAUAUUAGGAAGAACACCAGUGGCGAAGGCGGCUCACUGGUCCGGUAAUGACGCUGAGGUGCGAAAGCGUGGGGAGCGAACAGGAUUAGAUACCCUAGUAGUCC